rnacentral:rRNA from 1 species
UCUACGGGGGGCAGCAGUGGGGAAUAUUGGACAAUGGGGGGAACCCUGAUCCAGCGACGCCGCGUGAGUGAAGAAGUAUUUCGGUAUGUAAAGCUCUAUCAGCAGGGAAGAAAGAAAUGACGGUACCUGACUAAGAAGCCCCGGCUAACUACGUGCCAGCAGCCGCGGUAAUAAGUAGGGGGCAAGCGUUAUUCGGAUUUACUGGGUGUAAAGGGAGCGUAGACGGCGAUGCAAGUCUGAAGUGAAAGGCGGGGGCUCAACCUCCGGACUGCUUUGGAAACUGUAUGGCUGGAGGGCAGGAGAGGUAAGUGGAAUUCCUAGUGUAGCGGUGAAAUGCGUAGAUAUUAGGAGGAACACCAGUGGCGAAGGCGGCUUACUGGACUGUAACUGACGUUGAGGCUCGAAAGCGUGGGGAGCAAACAGGAUUAGAUACCCGUGUAGUC